ACUUGGUGAAAUUCCUCAGGGAUUUUGAGACAUCAAAGCAAUCUCUCUAGUUCUGGAAAGACUGAAUUUGCAGCAUCUGCUGAAAUGAGGAAUAAUCAAUGUUCACCAGCGGAAAUUGAAAAGCAAAGAGAUGGAGAAGAUUCCAAGGACCCACUCAAGUUCCUGGUGUUUUUGUGAAUGUUCUGUGUUUUAGACAUGCUUUUGUUUAGGGGAAGACAUGAGCUGAGCCAAUUGGGAUAAAGAAGAGGUUGAAAAUGCGUAUGGCUUAGGCAGAGUAAGGAGUUUUAGAGAAAAUAUAGGGGUAACUUUUAGAGUCUUGGCUUAAGGCCAAAGCUUCUGAAUCAAGGAAAGAGCGACAGUUGCCUUCCUCUAUUUUUAUUAAUAUACAGGUGUGUUACCAUUAUUACCUACCAGAAAGAGCAUAAUAUUAAUCAAAUCAAAUUAUAUGAGUCCUACAGUAGAAAUAUUGCAGACAUUUAGUAUUAUAUUAAAGUUUAAUUAAUGGUAAGACUUUUCAAGGUGGUAAUAGUUAUAUGCAGCUCUUUGGCUAAAAGUCAAAGUAUGAUGUAUACAGAAUAGAAACGAUGCUGGACUGCCAGAAAAUCUGCCUCUCCCUCCCACUCCCCCAAAAUCUAUUAGGAACCAGCAUUUACUGUUAUUAUUUCAAAUAUUUAUGCAAGGUAAUUUUAAAUGAUUUAAAUAUUCCAUAUAUUAAUCAAAGUUAAUAAUAAGUUAGAUUCUGAAACAUUUGUGCCAUUAACAACAGUCAGAAAAAUAACAUUAUUUCAUUGGUAUUAAAUGAGGCAAUCUACAGUUUGAUUAAAAAAAAAAUUAGUGUAUUUUUUAAAAUUACACUUUUACAUAGAGUUAGAAAACUUGUCCAUAGAAAGGAAACUGUUGACCAAUUACAUGUUGUUAUAUCUAACUUGUAUAUUGUUCUUACUAUAGGCUACGCUCUGUCCUACUAGAUUUACAUAUAUUACUAAUUUUUUCUCACAACAACCUUGUGAGUUGGAACUAUUAUUGACUCCA
rnacentral:antisense_RNA from 1 species